AGUCUGACGGAGCAACGCCGCGUGAGUGAAGAAGGUUUUCGGAUCGUAAAACUCUGUUGUGAGGGAAGAACAAGUACCAACUAACUACUGGUACCUUGACGGUACCUCACCAGAAAGCCACGGCUAACUACGUGCCAGCAGCCGCGGUAAUACGUAGGUGGCAAGCGUUGUCCGGAAUUAUUGGGCGUAAAGCGCGCGCAGGCGGUCCUUUAAGUCUGAUGUGAAAGCCCACGGCUCAACCGUGGAGGGUCAUUGGAAACUGGGGGACUUGAGUGCAGAAGAGGAAAGUGGAAUUCCACGUGUAGCGGUGAAAUGCGUAGAGAUGUGGAGGAACACCAGUGGCGAAGGCGACUUUCUGGUCUGUAACUGACGCUGAGGCGCGAAAGCGUGGGGAGCAAACAGGAUUAGAUACCCUGGUAGUCCACGCCGUAAACGAUGAGUGCUAAGUGUUAGGGGGUUUCCGCCCCUUAGUGCUGCAGCUAACGCAUUAAGCACUCCGCCUG
rnacentral:rRNA from 1 species